GUUGCAACAGCAGUAACUCAGAAGUUUAUAAUCAAGAGAAAUUUGUCUCCUGGCUCUAGUGAUUGGGAGAGUGACAUGAUGCAGAUGAACUCUAGCCACUGGCUCACCCAGGCUAGCAACAAUGCCUGAACCUCAGUCUUCCUGGAAAAAGCCCACAUGGACACGCACUUUCUCGGAAGUGGAAUUGUAGAAAUCUCAAGCCAACACAGUUUGAAAAAAAGAGAAGAAAGAGAAGGAGGAAAAGAAGCAGAAGAGAAAGAAGAAGGAGAACAGGAAAAAAGAAGAAGAAGAAGAAGAAGAAGAAGAAGAAGAAGAAGAAGAAGAAGAAGGAGAAGAAGAGCUUGCCACCAUUCCCAGGAUAGUCUCAUCCCAGAGAGACAUUUGCCAGAUAUCUUGGCUGCUCAACUGUUGUGCCCCCCUGCCGUCUCUGUGAUCUCAAGCAGCCAGCAGCCAGGCUCCAGGUCAGAGGCUCAGCAAUGGUGACAAAGAGAAGCACAGAGGAGUAGAGGACAGCACUUGAGGUCGCCCAGUCUUCACGAUUAGAUCACCCUGAGCAGGAUGCUCCCCCUGGCUGAGCUCGGGGCCAUGUUCUCUUGAGUAAAAUUGGACUGAGUCCAGUUUUAUGUACUUCAGAGCCCUUCCUUGUUUGUACACGAAAGACACACUCCAGUCUAAACUCACCCGAGACGAACAGCUGCUUAUUUCUUGGCAAUUUUCCCCUGGUGUUUCUUGUCUUGGUGGAAUUAAUCCUUGCAUAAUAACACACAUUUCUGUCCCAUAAGAAUGUUAUCUGGUUUGGAGUUU
rnacentral:lncRNA from 1 species